rnacentral:ncRNA from 1 species
UCCCGCCUCGCGAAAAGUCGCCGAUUGUGGCGGCCUGUCCCCGGCCUUCGCCGGACGGACUAGCGAGGCGGGUUGUU